GGUGGCUCAGUGGUAAAGUGCUUGCCUCGCAUGCAUGAGGCUCUGGGUUCGAUUCCUCAGCACCA
rnacentral:tRNA from 1 species